GGCCUUAUAGUUGAUCUAACAACAUUAAAUUGCAAGUUUAAAAGUGUAUAUUAUACUAAGGCUU
rnacentral:tRNA from 1 species